CCUACGGGCGGCAGCAGUGGGGAAUAUUGGACAAUGGGGGGAACCCUGAUCCAGCCAUGCCGCGUGUGUGAAGAAGGCCCUCGGGUUGUAAAGCACUUUCAGUGAGGAAGAACGCCUGGUGGUUAAUACCUAUCAGGAAAGACAUCACUCACAGAAGAAGCACCGGCUAACUCCGUGCCAGCAGCCGCGGUAAUACGGAGGGUGCGAGCGUUAAUCGGAAUUACUGGGCGUAAAACGCGCGUAGGUGGCUUGAUAAGCCGGUUGUGAAAGCCCCGGGCUCAACCUGGGAACGGCAUCCGGAACUGUCAAGCUAGAGUGCAGGAGAGGAAGGUAGAAUUCCCGGUGUAGCGGUGAAAUGCGUAGAGAUCGGGAGGAAUACCAGUGGCGAAGGCGGCCUUCUGGACUGACACUGACACUGAGGUGCGAAAGCGUGGGUAGCAAACAGGAUUAGAUACCCCAGUAGUC
rnacentral:rRNA from 1 species